ensembl:lncRNA
AUGGGUGGGGUCCUUCACGAUACUGUUGGCUUUGCUGGAGCAUCAUGUAAGGAAAAUGUCCGGGAUGGAGGGGAGAGGGGCACCGAUGAUCUUUGCAACUGUGUUCACUGUCGGCUGGAGGGUCUUGCGUUCUGCUGCACUACAGUUUCCAUACCAGACGCAGCUGGUCAGCACGCUCUCUAUGGUUCCUCUGUAGAAUGUGGUGAGGAUGGGUGGAGGGAGACUUGCUCUCAUUCUGAUCUGUUUCUCUCUCAGAUACAGCCCAGGCUGAGAGAAGUAUUGAAGAUCCUGCUCCUGCUAGAGUUGAAUCAAAUCCGAUCAAUGAAACGCUCACCAACAUUGUUCACCGGACCAGAAAGGAUUUCCAACAAUGUAAGUCAGUCAGAAAACCUGCAGAAAAACUCUCUGAGUGUGUUCAUGUUCUUCCUGUAGAACAGGGGUGUCAAACUCAUUUUCACUGAGGGCCACUUCAACAUUAUGGCUGCCAUCAAAGGGCCGGUUGUAACUGAA